ACUUAUAUCUGGCUGCGACAUCUGUCACCCCAUUGAUCGCCAGGGAUGAUUCGGCUGAUCUGGCUGGCUAGGCGGGUGUCCCCUUCCUCCCUCACCGCUCCAUGUGCGUCCCUGCCGAAGCUGCGCGCUCGUCGAAGAGGAUGACCAUCCCCGCUAGAGGAGGACCGGUCUUCGGUCAAGGGUGUACAAGUAGCUGCGCUCCCCUGCUGGAACCUCCAAACAAGCCUCAAGAAUGAUUUUAAACAUUCUUUAAGAUCUAAAGCCCUGAAGAAAACACAAGAGGAAGCAAUCUAGGAUACUAGUGUAGAAAAUGAUGUUUUGAAUGAGUAUUAUU
rnacentral:snRNA from 1 species